AGAGUUUGAUCCUGGCUCAGAACGAACGCUGGCGGCGUGCCUAACACAUGCAAGUCGAACGAGAAGUACGUAGCAAUACGUAUUGUAAAGUGGCGCACGGGUGAGUAACACGUGGGUAAUCUGCCCUCGAGUUUGGGAUAACCCCGCGAAAGCGGGGCUAAUACCGAAUAAGACCACGGGGACCAAAGUCCCUGAGGUAAAAGGUGGCCUCUAUUUAUAAGCUACCACUUGAGGAUGAGCCCGCGGCCCAUUAGCUAGUUGGCAGGGUAACGGCCUACCAAGGCGAUGAUGGGUAGCUGGUCUGAGAGGACGAUCAGCCACACUGGAACUGAGACACGGUCCAGACUCCUACGGGAGGCAGCAGUGGGGAAUAUUGCGCAAUGGGCGAAAGCCUGACGCAGCAACGCCGCGUGGGGGAUGAAGGUUCUCGGAUUGUAAACCCCUUUCGAUCGGAACGAAUCUCCUCCUGGUAAAUAAUCAGGAGGAUCGACGGUACCGGGAGAAGAAGCCACGGCUAACUCUGUGCCAGCAGCCGCGGUAAGACAGAGGUGGCGAGCGUUGUUCGGAUUUAUUGGGCGUAAAGCGAACGCAGGUGGUUUGGUAAGUCAGAGGUGAAAGACCACAGCUUAACUGUGGCACUGCCUUUGAUACUGCCUUUCUAGAGUGCAUGAGGGGGAAGCGGAAUUCCGAGUGUAGAGGUGAAAUUCGUAGAUAUUCGGAGGAACACCGGUGGCGAAGGCGGCUUCCUGGCAUGUAACUGACACUCAUGUUCGAAAGCGUGGGUAGCAAACAGGAUUAGAUACCCUGGUAGUCCACGCCCUAAACGAUGGGCACUAGGUGCGGGAGGUAUCGACCCCUUCCGUGCCGCAGCUAACGCAUUAAGUGCCCCGCCUGGGGAGUACGGCCGCAAGGUUGAAACUCAAAGGAAUUGACGG
rnacentral:rRNA from 1 species